rnacentral:rRNA from 1 species
UGGGCGAAAGCCUGAUCCAGCCAUGCUGCGUGUGUGAAGAAGGUCUUCGGAUUGUAAAGCACUUUAAGUUGGGAGGAAGGGUAUUAACCUAAUACGUUAGUACUUUGACGUUACCGACAGAAUAAGCACCGGCUAACUCUGUG